AUUCAGUCAGUUAAAAGUUAGCCGCAAGAAAAGAAAUUGAAACUCCACUCCGUUGAAACUGAACAUCUCUUGUGCCAUUCGAGUAGACAAAAAAAAUAAGGCUAUUCGUUGAUUAGCUUAUCGAUUGCGCAUGGUGUACGGCCGCAACAAUAGCUAAGGUCAAUCGGGAGUGUACCGUUAUGAAUUUCGCCUUAAGCCUCACCGUCGACUCGCGGCCCCUACAGCGUUUCCGUGGCGGCCCGACAUCUUGAUUCAGGACAUCGGCGGACGAGAAGACCAACUGGAGUAAGAUGCGAAAUUAACCUUGCCCAGGGAUCAACGAGGAUGGCACAACGAAAUAACGAUGCAUAUCUUAUCCUGCGAAUGCUUCCAGCAGAAUCGAACCCUCUGGCCUGUCUCCAAGGAGCACCAAUAGAAAACGACGAAUAAGGAACUGCCAUUAGAAAAGAUUCACAGUCGGUGAAUCGACAUUCUUGGACGAUCCUAGGCAUUCCUAGGCAUUCCUCGGGACAAAAGAGGACCGCGGGGACACGCUUUCGCACAUAAAUUGCGAGAGGUGUGUCCCACGCGUAGAUAGGACUGGAUGAGGCUUCACGAGCGACACCUUUUCCACCGACGGUCGGUUUUCUACGACAAUUUAGAUUUCCCUGACAGCGGCGCGGUUUUAACGUCGCGCUAACGGUAUCUCCGAUCUUCGGCCAACAUACGUAUGCAUAUUCAGGCCAAUGCUCGCCGCCGGUACUUUCUUUUCCCGCGUCUCGUGAUUCCGCGGAGGUCUUGCCAGAGGUCUUUCCAGCUGUCAAGGUUAUAUAACGCCGUAUCAUCAACUUUGUCGUUACAUGUUUACAAACAGUUUAUUUUAAGGCGAUGGCCCGUGCGCGUUUCGACGUAGACCUUAAUCUCGAGCGAGAGAUGCAGUUCAAAUUUCAUUCCGUUUUAACCGUUUGAGUAAACAAAUCUUCUGGGUGUGUGCCAAACAUGCGGAAGUGAUUGGGUGUGUAUGGAAAAAGUUAAUAAGAUUUAACACUCCGGGUUGUUUUGUGAUCUAUCAGCAACUGCAACUAAUUUUUAUAGCAUUCCCAGCGAAAAUGAGAAAUGCUGCAUUUCUUCGAUCUUUUAUUUUACUUCUCAAUGCAAAAUUUGGAUGUGCGGAGAAUCUAAUAAUUUUAGGG